rnacentral:rRNA from 1 species
AUUGAACGCUGGCGGCAGGCCUAACACAUGCAAGUCGAGCGGCAGCGCGGGGGCAACCCUGGCGGCGAGCGGCGGACGGGUGAGUAACGCGUAGGAAUCUACCCAGUAGCGGGGGAUAGCCCGGGGAAACUCGGAUUAAUACCGCAUACGCCCCAAGGGGGAAAGCAGGGGAUCUUCGGACCUUGCACUAUUGGAAGAGC